CCUGGGGGGAUUAGAGAAAAAGGACUGCUGAUAUAAACAGUGAAACCUGUUGAACCAGUACCUCAGGGAAAGUAAGAGAUGCUAUCAUCAAUGGUUCCACAGGAAGAAAAGAAAGGAUCUGAAGCUCAGGUUUUGGCAAAUAAAUAUAGACACAAAUACUCUUAAAAGAGAUUCUUGGAAAGGGUGCUUUGGCAAGAUCUGACAAGCUGUCUGCAAAGCCAAACACUGAAAACUAAACUUUCAAAGGAAAACAUUUCAAUGAAAGACAUGGGUUGGAAUUCAUUGCUGUGGAGAGAGCCAGCACAUGGGUGAAGCUGGGCCUUUCUGCCCCUGCAUACCUGUGAGCCUGCUAGCCCUGCUCAUGAAGAAAAGAUGCUAGCUUUUGUUGUUCUUCGUCUUGCUUAAUUGAGGCCAGGUAUUAGUCUGGGCUGCUUGUUUAGAUGCUCAGUUUAACACCCAAUCAUUAACUGAUUUCUUCAGAAGAAGAAAUCCAAUACAA